CCCCCCCCCCCAGUAGUGCUUUUCUCGCUGUGCUGAACUGGAAUCCUAAGUGGCAACUCCUGCAAUUCAAUGCAUUUUUAUGCAUUUACUACCUAGGUGAGUACCCUGCGCUCAGGGCUUUCCCAUAGCAUUAAGUGAUCAAGAGCAUAAAGAGAGAACCAUGUCCUCAUUUGUUAUAUCUCAAGGCUGGGGUGUUGGAGCCAAGUGGGACGCACCAACAUUUCUGUCUUGCUGACAGCACUGUGCUGGCCUUUUGGGUGUCUUAUCAGCCAGGUCACAAGGAGGAAUGGAAAGUGGGGGGAACCCCACCCCAACAAAAUAAAAAAAAACUUGAAAAGCUUAACUCAGGUGCAUCAAACAUCCUAAAAGGUGAGAUUUGCUUUUAAAGAAGUUAAACAGCAUGGAAAGCAACAGCUUCCAUCAGUACUUUUUGCUGUUAAAGUGUCAUUUUCUUUCUUGGCAUCUGUGGAAGACGAGAACUAGCAGUGGGAAGGAGGCGUGCACAGAAAUGUCUGAGCAGGGGGAGAGGAAAGCCACAAGACAAGCUCAAGAGUAAAAAUUGUUUUCCUCCAUGUUUUAAUUUGACAAAAGAGGAUCCAUCUCAGGUUGGUCAUGGUGGGAUGGUUGGUAGCUGUGUUACAAAGGUGAGAUGUAGGUGGAUGUUUUCUGGGAAUGCCAUUUACCACUUAAAGCUUUGCUUCUGCUAAGUUUUAACUUAAGCUUUUGAAGUGCAGCAGGGUAACUGCUGUAGCAAACUAGGCAAGUUCAGCCUAUUAAAAGCAAACAAACGAAAAUAGUGAAUUUUUUUUUUAACUCGGAGUCUGGAAGCUUUACAUGCCAAACUGCUAAUUGGCAGGAGGGAGGAACUUGGUAAAAAAUACAGGAAGCAUCUAGUGUUUGAUUUUAGGCCUCUAAGUAGAGAAGAAUAAAAUACUUGUUAAAGCUUUUUAAGCUAUGCCGUAUGUAAAAGUGUGGGUCUUCUUGAUUGUUGAGUUCAGACUAAUUCUCCCUUUGAACCUGGUCUCACGUUUUGCAGCACGUGGGCAGGGCUGUAUGAACUAAACAACUACGGUUUCCUUCUUAAACCAACCCAACAAUCAAACCCCUGAAACUUAGUAAAAUUUUUUAUUUUCAGUGUUCUAGGAACAAUUUCAGUUCCUGGGCUCUGCAGGGGAGCAGCAGUGUUGGCACCUGCUGACAGGGCAGUGGUAGCAAGGUAAGAGGCAGAGAGGGUGGCAGUAGUUUAGCACCUCUCAGGAAGGUUGUCACUGCUAACCCCUCCUCGCCCCUGGGUAGGGGGUAUCAAAACCCUGUGCUAAAGCCCAGUGCAUUCCAGGCAGAUUCAGUUGUUCAGUUGUGGUUGAGUUGAGUGCCCUGAAGAUUUAAAGGAAAAAAAAAAAAAUCACAAGAAAUCCCUUUACAAAAUCUCUUUCUAGGUAAGCAAAGCUGGAGAAGACUGAUGCCGAGAGUGGCCCAGGAGCUUGGCUGCCAUGGGCUCUCGUGGGCUGAUGCCAGUGGAGAGCGCAAGGUUUGCUCGGAGCAGGUCUGUCAGGCGCAUUUUCACAAAGGCGAGGACAAACAAGUACGAAAGGGUCAGUUUCUUCAUUCUUACAGUGGGACCUCCACCAAGCAACCGCUUUGGUCUUUCAGGGUCCAGCUGCUCAUGAGGAACCUGGCCAGCAGAGGAAAGAUCCCUUUUCACAAGACAACCAAUAUUUGAUUUAAUGGGUUUUGGACGUUCCCCUUUAUUGCUCCCAGAGAGAAAUUCCAGAAAGCCUAAAUCAGUAAGUGCAUUCAGUCCUCUAGAGUAAAUCUUCAAUUUAAAAAUAUAAGUGUCGUAAUUCUAAAGAGGAACAGUACAGAAGAAAAUGUACCCAGUCUUAACUACUUAGAGGUAAUAAAUGGUUAUAUUAAAUGAUAGAGAAAUCAUUAUAUACAUCUUUUUCUAAUUCCUUGCAUUUUCUAGACAGCUUAUUAAAAUAUAGGAAAUGUAGAUUCAUCUGUACAAAAUUUGGAAUGUUUUUUCUAAGAUGAAGAACUUAUAGGAUCUGCUAAGAAUUCUUUUCUAAGAACUGGUUUUAAUGCUUUGACUUCUAGUGCAAGAGGGAUUUAGGGAAAUCGGAAGGUGAUACCUUUCACAGGAUAAAGGUCAGGAGCUGUUUUACUCUAGGACAAAAAAAAAAAAAAAAA